CAGCAGCCGCGGUAAUACGUAGGGUGCAAGCGUUAAUCGGAAUUACUGGGCGUAAAGCGUGCGCAGGCGGUUGUGCAAGACCGAUGUGAAAUCCCCGGGCUUAACCUGGGAAUGGCAUUGGUGACUGUACGGCUAGAGUGUGUCAGAGGGGGGUAGAAUUCCACGUGUAGCAGUGAAAUGCGUAGAGAUGUGGAGGAAUACCGAUGGCGAAGGCAGCCCCCUGGGAUAACACUGACGCUCAUGCACGAAAGCGUGGGGAGCAAACAGGAUUAGAUACCCUGGUAGUCCACGCCCUAAACGAUGUCUACUAGUUGUCGGGUCUUCAUUGACUUGGUAACGCAGCUAACGCGUGAAGUAGACCGCCUGGGGAGUACGGUCGCAAGAUUAAAACUCAAAGGAAUUGACGG
rnacentral:rRNA from 1 species